CAAAUUAAUUUUUUUUAGAAAAAUAUUUUUUUUUACAAGAAAGUAGAUUGUUGUGCAAUUCAACUUAAUUUGA
rnacentral:tRNA from 1 species